UACGUAGGGUGCAAGCGUUGUCCGGAAUUAUUGGGCGUAAAGAGCUCGUAGGCGGUCUGUCGCGUCGGAUGUGAAAACCCAGGGCUCAACCCUGGGCCUGCAUUCGAUACGGGCAGACUAGAGUUCGGUAGGGGAGACUGGAAUUCCUGGUGUAGCGGUGAAAUGCGCAGAUAUCAGGAGGAACACCGGUGGCGAAGGCGGGUCUCUGGACAGUUCCUGACGCUGAGGCACGAAGGUCAGGGGAGCAAACGGG
rnacentral:rRNA from 1 species